rnacentral:rRNA from 1 species
CCUACGGGAGGCAGCAGUGGGGAAUAUUGCACAAUGGGGGAAACCCUGAUGCAGCGACGCCGCGUGAGUGAAGAAGUAUCUCGGUACGUAAAGCUCUAUCAGCAGGGAAGAAAAUGACGGUACCUGACUAAGAAGCCCCGGCUAACUACGUGCCAGCAGCCGCGGUAAUACGUAGGGGGCAAGCGUUAUCCGGAUUUCCUGGGUGUAAAGGGAGCGUAGACGGCAGCACAAGUCUGGAGUGAAAUCCCGGGGCUUAACCCCGGAACUGCUUUGGAAACUGUGCGGCUGGAGUGCAGGAGAGGUAAGCGGAAUUCCUGGUGUAGCGGUGAAAUGCGUAGAUAUCAGGAGGAACACCGGCGGCGAAGGCGGCUUACUGGACUGUAACUGACGUUGAGGCUCGAAGGCGUGGGGAGCAAACAGGAUUAGAUACCCGUGUAGUC